rnacentral:rRNA from 1 species
AGCGAACGCUGGCGGCAGGCCUAACACAUGCAAGUCGAACGAACCUUUCGGGGUUAUUGGCGGACGGGUGAGUAACACGUGGGAACGUGCCUUUAGGUUCGGAAUAACUCAGGGAAACUUGUGCUAAUACCGAAUGUGCCCUUCGGGGGAAAGAUUAAUCGCCUUUAGAGCGGCCCGCGUCUGAUUAGCUAGUUGGUUGAGGUAAUGGCUCACCAAGGCGACGAUCAGUAGCUGGUCUGAGAGGAUGAUCAGCCACAUUGGGGCUGAGACACGGCCCAAACUCCUACGGGAGGCAGCAGUGGGGAAUCUUGCGCAAUGGGCGAAAGCCUGACGCAGCCAUGCCGCGUGAAUGAUGAAGGUCUUAGGAUUGUAAAAUUCUUUCACCGGGGACGAUAAUGACGGUACCCGGAGAAGAAGCCCCGGCUAACUUCGUG